rnacentral:rRNA from 1 species
UACGUAGGUGACAAGCGUUGUCCGGAUUUACUGGGCGUAAAGAGCGCGCAGGCGGUCGAUCAAGUCGAGUGUGAAAGCCCCCGGCUCAACUGGGGAGGGUCAUUCGAUACUGAUCGACUCGAAGGCAGGAGAGGGUAGUGGAAUUCCCGGUGUAGUGGUGAAAUGCGUAGAUAUCGGGAGGAACACCAGUGGCGAAGGCGACUACCUGGCCUGUUCUUGACGCUAAGGCGCGAAAGCUAGGGGAGCAAACGGG